GGGGCGUCGACCUCGAGGAGAAGAAUCGCUGUUUGGUUGCUCUUUAAAGGGAGAGACUGAGAGGGUGAAGACGGUGAUUUCCGACGGUCCUUGCUCAAGGUAGGCCUCUUGCUGCCGUCGUCGUCAGUGCUGUCUUCCGAUGAUCUCGGGGCUUGACGGGGUCGAAAGAUGUGAGAUCACGGUUCAUCCCGUUUUCGUGUAUGGAAUGAACCUGGUCUUCUAUUUCCAUUGUCACCAUCUCGAUAGGGGGCUCUUGGCGUUUUGGGUGUCGUAUCUCCGUUAAGUCGUUGCCCGCAUCUCGUGAGUGCUCUUUGGUUGUUUAGUUUGAGUCGCUCUUUCCCAAGGAUCUUGGCUUGGAGCCGGCCAGAGCCGCGGUUCGCCUCGAACUCGCCCACUAGUCGUCGUCUCCGAGCCAGGUAGGGACUUCCUCGUUAAAUGGUCACCCACACGAGCCCCUUCAGCUCCGCCUUGUUCCGUUUAAAGGACGACCUGGGCUUGGUUUCUCCGGUUCUUGAGUGUUCCAUGUCCAACUGAGUUGAUUUCUUUGGCGUCACGGGUCUAGAUCCGAGUUCGGGCGUAGAACGGUCAGUUACUUCUCCUCGACGCACUGCACACCGGGUGUUUGAAGAAAUGUCUAAAUGAAGCUCUGUUAUUGUCUGGGGAACGUCUCCUGAUUUAAAACAUUU
rnacentral:lncRNA from 1 species